rnacentral:rRNA from 1 species
GUGGGGAAUAUUGGACAAUGGGGGGAACCCUGAUCCAGCCAUGCCGCGUGUGUGAAGAAGGCCUUUUGGUUGUAAAGCACUUUAAGCGAGGAGGAGGCUACCGAGAUUAAUACUCUUGGAUAGUGGACGUUACUCGCAGAAUAAGCACCGGCUAACUCUGUGCCAGCAGCCGCGGUAAUACAGAGGGUGCGAGCGUUAAUCGGAUUUACUGGGCGUAAAGCGCGCGUAGGUGGCUAAUUAAGUCAAAUGUGAAAUCCCCGAGCUUAACUUGGGAAUUGCAUUCGAUACUGGUUAGCUAGAGUAUGGGAGAGGAUGGUAGAAUUCCAGGUGUAGCGGUGAAAUGCGUAGAGAUCUGGAGGAAUACCGAUGGCGAAGGCAGCCAUCUGGCCUAAUACUGACACUGAGGUGCGAAAGCAUGGGGAGCAAACAGGAUUAGAUACCCGUGUAGUCC